UUAAGCGACUAAGCGUACACGGUGGAUGCCCUGGCAGUCAGAGGCGAUGAAGGACGUGCUAAUCUGCGAUAAGCGUCGGUAAGGUGAUAUGAACCGUUAUAACCGGCGAUUUCCGAAUGGGGAAACCCAGUGUGUUUCGACACACUAUCAUUACGUGAAUACAUAGCGUAAUGAAGCGAACCGGGGGAACUGAAACAUCUAAGUACCCCGAGGAAAAGAAAUCAACCGAGAUUCCCCCAGUAGCGGCGAGCGAACGGGGAGCAGCCCAGAGUCUGAAUCAGCUUGUGUGUUAGUGGAACGGUCUGGAAAGUCCGACGGUACAGGGUGAUAGUCCCGUACACCAAAAUGCACAGGCUGUGAACUCGAAGAGUAGGGCGGGACACGUGGUAUCCUGUCUGAAUAUGGGGGGACCAUCCUCCAAGGCUAAAUACUCCUGACUGACCGAUAGUGAACCAGUACCGUGAGGGAAAGGCGAAAAGAACCCCGGCGAGGGGAGUGAAAAAGAACCUGAAACCGUGUACGUACAAGCAGUGGGAGCACCUUCGGGUGUGACUGCGUACCUUUUGUAUAAUGGGUCAGCGACUUAUAUUCUGUAGCAAGGUUAACCGUAUAGGGGAGCCGCAGGGAAACCGAGUCUUAACUGGGCGUUAAGUUGCAGGGUAUAGACCCGAAACCCGGUGAUCUAGCCAUGGGCAGGUUGAAGGUUGGGUAACACUAACUGGAGGACCGAACCGACUAAUGUUGAAAAAUUAGCGGAUGACUUGUGGCUGGGGGUGAAAGGCCAAUCAAACCGGGAGAUAGCUGGUUCUCCCCGAAAGCUAUUUAGGUAGCGCCUCGUGAAUUCAUCUUCGGGGGUAGAGCACUGUUUCGGCUAGGGGGUCAUCCCGACUUACCAACCCGAUGCAAACUACGAAUACCGAAGAAUGUUAUCACGGGAGACACACGGCGGGUGCUAACGUCCGUCGUGAAGAGGGAAACAACCCAGACCGCCAGCUAAGGUCCCAAAGUCAUGGUUAAGUGGGAAACGAUGUGGGAAGGCACAGACAGCCAGGAUGUUGGCUUAGAAGCAGCCAUCAUUUAAAGAAAGCGUAAUAGCUCACUGGUCGAGUCGGCCUGCGCGGAAGAUGUAACGGGGCUAAACCAUGCACCGAAGCUGCGGCAGCGACACUAUGUGUUGUUGGGUAGGGGAGCGUUCUGUAAGCCUGCGAAGGUGACCUGUGAGGGUUGCUGGAGGUAUCAGAAGUGCGAAUGCUGACAUAAGUAACGAUAAAGCGGGUGAAAAGCCCGCUCGCCGGAAGACCAAGGGUUCCUGUCCAACGUUAAUCGGGGCAGGGUGAGUCGACCCCUAAGGCGAGGCCGAAAGGCGUAGUCGAUGGGAAACAGGUUAAUAUUCCUGUACUUGGUGUUACUGCGAAGGGGGGACGGAGAAGGCUAUGUUAGCCGGGCGACGGUUGUCCCGGUUUAAGCAUGUAGGCGGAGGUUCCAGGUAAAUCCGGUACCUUUUUAACGCUGAGGUGUGAUGACGAGGCACUACGGUGCUGAAGUAACAAAUGCCCUGCUUCCAGGAAAAGCCUCUAAGCAUCAGGUAACAUUAAAUCGUACCCCAAACCGACACAGGUGGUCAGGUAGAGAAUACCAAGGCGCUUGAGAGAACUCGGGUGAAGGAACUAGGCAAAAUGGUGCCGUAACUUCGGGAGAAGGCACGCUGAUAUGUAGGUGAAGCGGUUUACCCGUGGAGCUGAAAUCAGUCGAAGAUACCAGCUGGCUGCAACUGUUUAUUAAAAACACAGCACUGUGCAAACACGAAAGUGGACGUAUACGGUGUGACGCCUGCCCGGUGCCGGAAGGUUAAUUGAUGGGGUUAUCCGUAAGGAGAAGCUCUUGAUCGAAGCCCCGGUAAACGGCGGCCGUAACUAUAACGGUCCUAAGGUAGCGAAAUUCCUUGUCGGGU
rnacentral:rRNA from 1 species